rnacentral:rRNA from 1 species
GAUGAACGCUGGCGGCGUGCCUAAUACAUGCAAGUCGAGCGAACAGACGAGGAGCUUGCUCCUCUGAUGUUAGCGGCGGACGGGUGAGUAACACGUGGAUAACCUACCUAUAAGACUGGGAUAACUUCGGGAAACCGGAGCUAAUACCGGAUAACAUGUUGAACCGCAUGGUUCAACAGUGAAAGACGGUCUUGCUGUCACUUAUAGAUGGAUCCGCGCCGCAUUAGCUAGUUGGUAAGGUAACGGCUUACCAAGGCAACGAUGCGUAGCCGACCUGAGAGGGUGAUCGGCCACACGGGAACUGAGACACGGUCCAGACGCCUACGGGAGGCAGCAGUAGGGAAUCUUCCGCAAUGGGCGAAAGCCUGACGGAGCAACGCCGCGUGAGUGAAGAAGGUCUUCGGAUCGUAAAACGCUGUUAUUAGGGAAGAACAAAUGUGUAAGUAACUAUGCACGUCUUGACGGUACCUAAUCAGAAAGCCACGGCUAACUACGUG